AUCUAUGGCCAUGCCACCCUGAACAUGCCCGAUCUUGUCUGAUCUCGGAAGCUAAGCAGGGUCGGGCCUGGUUAGUACUUGGAUGGAAGACCAUCUAGGAACACCAGGUGCUAUAGAUG
rnacentral:rRNA from 1 species